AGUGUUUUCAAUAACUGCUUCACAAGCACAAUUUCGUAUAAGUAUUUCCCAAUUUUUUUCCCGUAUGAAGGGGCAGUUUAGAUCCUCUAUUAAAUUAUGAAAGAUACUCUUUCCAAUUUUUCCCAAUGUUUUCACCAAUGUUUCAAUAUUUUACGUAUCGAAUAAAGGCGAUACCGUUAAAAGGCGGACUUAGGUUGCGGUACCUUCGUUUUAGUUACCCAUGGCGAAAUAAGCGCAAGCCUUUAUGCCAAAAACCGUGAACGGCAAUCCUGUAAAUGCGAUUGGCCGUUGAUGCCAGCCCGACCUAGAUGGUAUCUGAUUGGAGCUCGUAGCUCUCGGUUUCUGCAGUUUCCGCGGACGCUUCGGUUCGGAAAUCGCAGACGAGACCGCAAGAGCACGGAACGUCGUGGGCAAACUUGGAGGCUGCUCGCGAAACCUGAUAAGCCGGGCGCAAUAUUUUUCUUAGAUGCAUCUAGGACGUGUAUGGCUUGAAAUCCUAUUUCUGUCUCGGCGCUCCGAUUUUUAUAUUUCGUGCGAUGGAAUGCGACUCGGGAUGUAUUUGAUAUGCUAUUUAAUAGAGAAUAAACAGGUUGACGUUGAAAUUGUACAUAUUUAAUUUUUUGUGUGUCAGAGAGAGAUGAUGAAUCGUCAUUUAU